UACAGAGGUCUCAAGCGUUGUUCGGAUUCAUUGGGCGUAAAGGGUGUGUAGGUGGCGCCGUAAGUCGGGUGUGAAAUUUCGGAGCUUAACUCCGAAACUGCAUUCGAUACUGCGGUGCUUGAGGACUGGAGAGGAGACUGGAAUUCAUGGUGUAGCAGUGAAAUGCGUAGAGAUCAUGAGGAAGACCAGUGGCGAAGGCGGGUCUCUGGGCCGUAACUGACGCUGAGGAGCGAAAGCGUGGGGAGCAAACAGG
rnacentral:rRNA from 1 species